CUCUCUCUAGCUAUAGAUAGGCCUUUCUCUCUCACGCAUACAAUCUCAGAUCUGUAUAUGUACAGUAAAUAGAUACACGUAUGUUCAGUUUGCAUUUAUCGCGGCGGUCUCUCAUUCGCUUGGUGCAGGUCGGGACCUGCCUCGCCGGCGACAAUGACGUCAGCUGACGGUGACGGUGGCGUAUCGAUAGAUAUACAUGUUGUUUAUGACGAAAUUUUGGUCCCGCCUUGCAUCAACUGAAUCGGAGACUGCGGUGAAUUUUAAUUGUUUCAAGUAAAUCAGCUUUGUUAUGGAUCGAUCUAAUAUCUACCGAUUGUUUCCUGUGAGCGUAUAACUCCAGUGAUAGAUCUAAGAGUAUUUUGCAAAUUCGAUGCCAUCAGUUAAAUGAAGAUGUUUGAUUUUAUUGAGUACAGUUAAUGUUAUGAUUUAGGUAAUCUGUAAUUAAGAAACGUGAUAGAUUGUAUUGGAAGCUUUUCUGCAUUAAUUCCCUUUUUAGGUAGAUUAGGAGGAUGAAGUAACUAAAAGAUUCGGUUUUUGUUGAAUGCUACGUUAAAACUUUGUUACACUGUACUAGAAUCGGCUUUAGAGGCGUUUAGUGCUGUUGUUUUUGCACAGAAUUUGAGUAGCACAAUAAAUUUGUUGAAAAGGAAGAGUUUUUCCCCAUUCCCAA